UGAGGAUUUUGAACAAGAAAAACACUGCUUUGAAAUGGCCAUGUGGUCUCUUUGAGCUUGUCAUCUGUGACAGGAACUGACUGGGAGGGAUCCAUGCAGGGAACUCUAAAGACCUUGAGCGUUGAGUGUGAGGCUAUACAGAGAUUCUGAGGCCCAUACAAAAAUCUG